ensembl:miRNA gga-mir-7478 gga-mir-7478
UACCUGUGUGACUGUGGAGAGGAUAUGAGAAAGUGGGAUGGAAAACCCACCUCAGUCCUACAUGCACGGGCAGGUGAG